UCAGGUAUCAAGAGAUUCUUCUGAAAAUUAAUCAGAGAAUCGCUGAUCAUAUCGCAGUGAUUCAAGAUCUGAUGAAGAUUCUGCUGAAUAUGGACCUACAAAGUACGACUUCGACUGGGCCGUGAAGCACGACUACUCAGGCAACCACUUCGGCCACCAGGAGUCCCGCGACGGAGACUACACCCAAGGCUCGUACUACGUGCAGCUUCCCGACACUCGCUUGCAGACUGUCAAGUACUACGUGGACGGCGACUCUGGCUUCGUGGCCGAGGUGGAAUACGAGGGCGAGGCCCAACAUCCUGAGUCCGAGGAAUAUCGAGUGCCUCGAGGCCGAUACUCAGCCCCAGACUCAAGCGAGGACUCGUCCGAAACGGUCGUUCGAGCUCCCUCAAGAUUUUAUGGCUCACCUUUGUAAAGUUGAGACGAAGAGGACGGAUCUCGUUUCGACGGCCGUGAUUCAAUAUGGAGAUGAUGUAAAUUAAUUUAUAUAUUUAAUUGUAGUAAAAUAAUACGUGCAUAGUAAGCUAGAA
rnacentral:lncRNA from 1 species